GGCAAGAUGGCCGAGCGGUCUAAGGCGCUGGAAUCAGGUCACGUGAGAGUUCACACACCUUAUCCAGUCCGAAAGGGCACGAGUUCGAAUCUCGUUCUUGUCA